rnacentral:rRNA from 1 species
GACGAACCGUGCGAACGUUAUUCGGAAUCACUGGGCUUAAAGCGCGUGUAGGCGGGACGGCACGUCGGUCGCUGAAAUCCCCCGGCUUAACCUGGGAACUGCGUCUGAUACUGGACGGCUUGAGUAUGGGAGAGGGAUGUAGAAUUCCAGGUGUAGCGGUGAAAUGCGUAGAUAUCUGGAGGAAUACCUGUGGCGAAGGCGGCAUCCUGGACCAUUACUGACGCUGAUGCGCGAAAGCUAGGGGAGCAAACGGG